UCUUUCCUUGUCUGGGGGUGAAUGGACCGAUCCAUGAGCGUGUAGCGAGAUCAGUCCUGCUAACACCUGACCAACACAACCAGCAUCACCUAAACUCUUUUGUUCAGGCUAUGGUGCAAUUUUUGGAACC